UAAAGUUCAUAAAGCUUGGAUUGGAGGUUGAUUCUUGAUUUUAGCAUUAUUUGAUGUGAUUUGAGGCCUCGAGCAAGUCCUUAAUGUGUUUUGGGAUAGGUUGGUGAUAUUGGUUGGUGUCCCGGGGGCCUCAGGUGUGUUUCGGGUUGUAUUGUGCUCUUGUUUGAUGCUUUAACGUGGUUUAUUUAGACAUAAAAAGGGUAUCAUAUUAAGAAAAUGAGCUCCAAACUAAUUUUUCUAUUGAACUAUUAGAUCCACAUUGUAAUUUCGGAGCUAUAGCAAAAAGAAUCGUUGAAUUUGGAGAUCUUAUGAGGGAGUUAUGCUCAUAUCCGUGUCGAGAAAGUGCUGGUUGCUGUAAUAAGUGCAGAAGCGGAAAUCUUCCGCAAAAGCGGGACCACGGGAGCUGAAAUUUUCCAUAGAAGCGGGACCGCGGAAGUGAAAAUUUUUUCGUGGAAGCGGAAAUUGCUG
rnacentral:lncRNA from 1 species